rnacentral:rRNA from 1 species
GUGGGGAAUCUUGCGCAAUGGGCGAAAGCCUGACGCAGCCAUGCCGCGUGGAUGAUGAAGGUCUUAGGAUUGUAAAAUCCUUUCACCGGUGAAGAUAAUGACUGUAGCCGGAGAAGAAGCCCCGGCUAACUUCGUGCCAGCAGCCGCGGUAAUACGAAGGGGGCUAGCGUUGCUCGGAUUUACUGGGCGUAUAGGGCGCGUAGGCGGACAUUUAAGUCAGGGGUGAAAUCCCGGGGCUCAACCUCGGAACUGCCUUUGAUACUGGGUGUCUUGAGUAUGAUAGAGGUGUGUGGAAAUCCGAGUGUAGAGGUGAAAUUCGUAGAUAUUCGGAAGAACACCAGUGGCGAAGGCGACACACUGGCUCAGUACUGACGCUGAGGCGCGAAAGCGUGGGGAGCAAACAGGAUUAGAUACCCGGGUAGUCC